rfam:Pseudoalteromonas sp. A601 contig34, whole genome shotgun sequence.
AGGUAAAUCCCCGUGAUCACACCCGAAAUUGAAUUAAUGAUGAGUAAUUUACAGCAUGGAUGCUGUUAAAAAGCGUAGCUUGGCCAAGGAUGGCCUAUCUACGCUGGUUACGUUCAUAUCAUUAAUUUAAAUUGAGGAAACAGUGUGAUCCUCGGGGCGCCGAGA